CAUUACAUCUUCUCAUGUUUCCCAAGUCAACCUCCAUAAUUUGUUACGUGUAUAUGGCCAAUAAUUUUUCAUAUUACACGAUAAACACGUUACUGUUAAAUAUAUACAAGAUAGAGAUCGAUAUGAUUCAAAGAAAUCAAAGACUUGGUAGCAACGAAUAUUAUAUUACUGGUAGAUAAUUACAUGUACUUAUGUGUUAUGUUAAUAUCGCAAAAAGUAUAAAAUGUUUGGUAUAAUACUAGGUAUCAAAGUAUGAAAAACGGAAUAAUGUCUGAAACAAUUUAUAUUAAAAAUUUUAUCAUUCGGAUAAUUAGUAGCUUAUCAAAGUACAAUAUUGCGCAACAGAGUUAACAGCAGAAAGAUAAACAAGCAUCGAUGUCAUCUUCUAUUUUUAUCUUUAAUUUUCAAGCGUUUUCUAUGACGAGACUAUGAAAUCUAGAUAGACAUGCGCGUUUUACGAUGUGAUUGCUAUAAAAAUAGCAGAUACACGAAUCAAAUUAUCCAGAGUUAACUUUCUAGAAAAUAAAUCUUCUUGACUUGCUUAAAUUCACGAGAAAUAAAAUUGCAGUCAUUUGAGAAGAUCUAUUCCCAGGACAUUCUACGUUUUCAAACUUAUGCGCGCGUGCAAUUCACGAUGCUUUAUAUUCUUCUCUUUCAACGCCUACUCAUCUUCGUGCAAAAACUGGAUGGAAUACUAGCCUAUGUAGCUCGCAAUAGUAUCGCAUAACAAAAGAUCCUGAUGCAACACGACUCGUGUAGAAAAUGCUUUACACUUUUGAAGCUAACCCUACGCUACGAAAUACUACUAUUCAACGACUUCGUGAUGCGUCCAACUAAACCUGAAGUAGUACGGAAAAUAAAGUAUACAUCUACAAGGUGCCCAUGUUGGACAAAGCGUACAAGUUAAUAUAAGAGAGAUUGUAUUACUCGUGCGUUGCGGUCGGAAGCAGAAUGCUGAGAAACGCUGCACCACGGUUAUUAAGCACACUGUUAAUUUUACUCAGGAAGGAAUAAAGAGAUUGUCUAGUGGUAGUCUGACAGGGAGGGUUUCACUUCCUCGAGAACCAAUUUCCUGUAACUGUAACAUUCGAUGCAGUAAUGAAUC